GUGCUCACUUUGGCAGCACAUUUACUAAAAUUGGAAAUACACAAAGAAGAUUAGCAUAAACCUUGCGCAAGGAUGAAAUACAAAUAUGUUGAGUGUUCCAUAUUUUA